rnacentral:misc_RNA from 1 species
AGAAAAUAAACCUUCCGCCAACAAAGGAGAAGUGCCACCAGAUCGGAAUAUCUAUUGGCGGAUCAUCAAGAACCAUCCAUUUAUCGCUCUCAGGAUCAAAGCAUUCAAAGAAUCUGACAGAAUUAUCGACGGGCAUCCCUUUCUCGUUAUAACAAGGUAGAGUGAAGUCAAAAGCAAUGCUGCUACUAAGAACAAAAAUCUUACCAUCAGCCACAACUGCACAUGGAUUACUUUUUCCGGUGUUCAUAGACACACCCCUUUUCAUCGAACNUAGGGUCAAAGAUAUACACAUCCUUUGGGAACCAUUGAUCAAAAGGAGCCAUGGGAUCCUCCAAGUCGUGUUCCCCACCAAGAAAGUAGAAUUCAGACCCCAACUGGACGGAGCACAUUCCUCUGGGAUAUUCUCGCUCCGGAAAUUCAAGAAUCGCAGAGAGAUGAUGAGGUUCCGCUGUUUCAUCUUUUGGGAUCUUGAUUUCAAACAUAGAGAGAACCAUUUCUCCACAUCCAUGACGCAACAACAUGUAAAUCGUUGUANNNNNNNNNNNNNUUGGCGAAUUCGGUUUCGAUAAAGGAAGGAUAGGUUUGGAGCUAAUCUUCAAUUCGAAGUGUCUGAAGAGUUUUCAGACGGAGGGCUUAGUCUCACAAUUUGGGCAUCG